rnacentral:rRNA from 1 species
GUAGGGGGCAAGCGUUAUCCGGAUUUACUGGGUGUAAAGGGAGCGUAGACGGCAAGGCAAGCCUGAUGUGAAAACCCAGGGCUUAACCCUGGGACUGCAUUGGAAACUGUCUGGCUCGAGUGCCGGAGAGGUAAGCGGAAUUCCUAGUGUAGCGGUGAAAUGCGUAGAUAUUAGGAGGAACACCAGUGGCGAAGGCGGCUUACUGGACGGUAACUGACGUUGAGGCUCGAAAGCGUGGGGAGCAAACAGGAUUAGAUACCCUGGUAGUCCACGCCGUAAACUAUGGGUGCUAGCCGUUGGGAAGCUUGCUUUUCAGUGGCGCAGCUAACGCAUUAAGCACCCCGCCUGGGGAGUACGGUCGCAAGAUUA